GGAUUAGAUACCCUGGUAGUCCACGUUGUAAACGAUGAUUACUCGAUGUGUGCGAUAUAGUGUACGCGUCUUAGCGAAAGCGUUAAGUGACCCACCUGGGAAGUACGUUCGCAAGAAUAAAACUUAAAGGAAUUGACGGGGGCCCGCACAAGCGGUGGAGCAUGUGGUUUAAUUCGAAGCAACGCGCAGAACCUUACCAGCCCUUGACAUACCGGUCGCGAUUUCCAGAGACGGAUUUCUUCAGUUCGGCUGGACCGGAUACAGGUGCUGCAUGGCUGUCGUCAGCUCGUGCUG
rnacentral:rRNA from 1 species